GUACACUCCUACGGGAGGCAGCAGUGGGGAAUUUUGGACAAUGGGCGAAAGCCUGAUCCAGCAAUGCCGCGUGAGUGAAGAAGGCCUUCGGGUUGUAAAGCUCUUUUGUCAGGGAAGAAACGGUGAGAGCUAAUAUCUUUUGCUAAUGACGGUACCUGAAGAAUAAGCACCGGCUAACUACGUGCCAGCAGCCGCGGUAAUACGUAGGGUGCAAGCGUUAAUCGGAAUUACUGGGCGUAAAGCGUGCGCAGGCGGUUUUGUAAGUCUGAUGUGAAAUCCCCGGGCUCAACCUGGGAAUUGCAUUGGAGACUGCAAGGCUAGAAUCUGGCAGAGGGGGGUAGAAUUCCACGUGUAGCAGUGAAAUGCGUAGAUAUGUGGAGGAACACCGAUGGCGAAGGCAGCCCCCUGGGUCAAGAUUGACGCUCAUGCACGAAAGCGUGGGGAGCAAACAGGAUUAGAAACCCUUGUAGUCCCA
rnacentral:rRNA from 1 species